rnacentral:lncRNA from 1 species
CAGCAGCUCUUCCUGAAGCAUUGUCAAAAAUUACCCUAGCUGAAAUUGGAUUGUAGUUUGCAGAGAAGAAUUCUCUUAGUUGGGUAGACCUCACUUUCCAUGCAAGAUUAGAAACAUAAAGUUUAUGUCGUGCUUCCCCUUGGGGAGGAGUUGAAGGAGGAGGAGCUCCUGGAGGUUUCUUAAAUCGCUUCGCAAAUUCUACCCUGAUGAUUCUUCCUAAUACUUCCUGUACCACCAAAACAUGGACAAAGAAGGGUGAAGACACAAACAGGAAAAGGGUAAAACAAAAGCAAUAACGCAAAGAAACAUACACAUUAAAUGAAAACCAGAGGUUGCAUUAUGAAAAGAGUAAUCCCUUAAGACAAACAAAAGGGAAAUCUAAGCACUAAUUUCAUGCUUAUGUACUUAGAUUAAGAAGUGAGAUUUCAUCCAGCUCAUUGGCAACUAGGAUGCAUGUAAUCUUUAACAUAAAAAGUGUAUCUCAAUCCUCAGAGACAGAAGUAACCCAUUCAUUGUUCAAUGAAUUAGCUUCUGUUAGUGACUUUUAGAUGUCAGUGAGAUACAAGCUCUUCAUCUUCAAAUCAAAUGAUCCAUGUCACAUUAUGACCCAAAAAAAGUUGAUCUCUGCAUUUGCAUUCCUUUAAGUGUGAUAGCAAGUAUUUUUUAUUUAUUUAUCAGAAUGAAUGUGAUAGCAAGCCUAUUUUCUUUUCUUUUCUUUUCUUUUUUUCAGAAUGAAUGUAAUACCAAAUGUUCUCUACUACUGGAUAAUGUAAAGCAACAUACAUCCAACCAAGCAAGAAUAGAACUAUACCAAGCUACACAGAAAAAAAUAUCAGAUUGCACAGAUCUUUAUAAUUACUUAAAGACCAAUGAAGUACUUUCACUUACACUCUGUUUGGAUCAUUGUUACCCAUUGUUUCAUAAUGUAUUGUAUUGUAUUGUACUCUAUUGUACUGUACUGUAUGGUAGAUACAAUGUUUGGCUUGACUAUAUUGUUUGUUGUUGUUUAAUAACAUUUUAAUGUACUGUAUUGUAAUUUAUAAAUUUACUAAAUUAUCCUUAAUUAUUCUAGGGUAGGAGGUUUGACUAGAAUUAAAUAAUAUAAGGUAAAAGGUAAAAUAGUAUUUUGAAAUAUUAUGUAAAGAUAUAAUUGGAAAAAGAAAUUAAGUAACAAUGGGAACAUACCAAAUCGGUUGCUCCAUAAAAUAGGGUUUUCAUUGUUAUGUAACAACAAAAUUUAACAAUACAAUACAAUACAUUUUAAGUAACAAUCAAAACAAACAUUGUAGGUAUAGUAACGAUACAAUACAAUACAAUGGAUAACAAUGAUCCAAACAGAGUGUAAGCAGCAUUAAACAGGUACAUCAUCAAUCAACCCCUGAAUUAUUGAGAAUGCUCUAUUCAGUAUUUAUCAAUGCUUACCACAAACAUUUCUUAAUGUUUUAACACAAGGCACCUCAUGUUUUUAUAUUGUCCUUUGCUACACAUCUUUGCUUUUCUCUCACUCUCAAACUUAAUUCUUGAAAAAUUUAAACAAUAUCUUCCACUACAAAGACAACCAAUCUCACAGGAAUUUUACUGUUGUAUUGACCUCAAAAAAAUACACAGAUAUUGCUAACUACAAACAAACAUCAAUUAUUUCUUUGUAGCAUAAUAUCAAAUGCUUCAUGUUUUAUCAUGUAACAGGAAAAAUAGCCAAUAAACUUACAUAAGAAUCCAAUUUGUCAAUUGCAGCUUGAGCUUCUUCCCCAGAAGACAUUGUCACAAAGGCAAAUCCUCUACUCUUUCCAUCUUCGGUCUUAAUAAUCUACUAAUUCAACACCCAAAAGGUAAAGACUUAACACCUUUUUUUCAACAACAACCAGAUAAACAUACACAAAUAAAGAAAAAUACCUCAACAUCAUCAACAAUUCCACAUUCAGCAAAGAUGUUCUUGAUAUCAGGAACAGUCAAAGACCAUGGUAAGUUUAGAACAAAAAGCUUUCUUCUUAGAUUAUUCUUCUGGGGUUUCUCUGUUUUCUCUUCUUCUUGUACUGUUACAGGUUCAGUGACUUCAACUGCUGAGCAGUGAAGUUGGGAGCAUUGUUUUCUUGAAAGAAGAGGAAGAAUGGAUUUGAGAGAAAGAUUAAGGGAAUGGUUGGAAUUUUGGAGUUUAAUUGAAUUGGGAAACAAUGGGAAUUUGAGAUAAGAGGAGGAGGAAGGAGGAGGAGAUGAGAAAAUUGAGGAUGCUGCUAAUUCAAUUGCAGCCAUUGUUUGUGUAACA